rnacentral:rRNA from 1 species
AACGCUGCGGCGUGCUUAACACAUGCAAGUCGAACGAGGCAGCGGCCUUCGGGCCGUUGUCGAGUGGCGAACGGGUGAGUAACACGUGAGGAACCUGCCCCGGAGACCGGGAUAACCAGGGGAAACUCUGGCUAAUACCGGAUGCCCCCGGAUGGUCGCAUGGCCAACCGAGGAAACGCUCCGGUGCUCCGGGAGGGCCUCGCGGCCUAUCAGCUUGUUGGUGGGGUAACGGCCCACCAAGGCAUCGACGGGUAGCUGGUCUGAGAGGACGAUCAGCCACACUGGGACUGAGACACGGCCCAGACUCCUACGGGAGGCAGCAGUGGGGAAUAUUGCGCAAUGGGCGAAAGCCUGACGCAGCAACGCCGCGUGGGGGAUUAAGGCCUUCGGGUUGUAAACCCCUUUCAGCAGGGACGAAAAUGACGGUACCUGCAGAAGAAGCCCGGCCAACUACGUGCCAGCAGCCGCGGUAACACGUAGGGGGCAAGCGUUGUCCGGAUUUAUUGGGCGUAAAGAGCUCGUAGGCGG